GAACGAUUUGAUGAACAUCUAUUUAAAUCCUUAAAUUUUAAGGUUUUGAUCGCCGGAAUGAUGGCGAAUUCACGUAUUCGUACUCUGAUCGUUC